rnacentral:rRNA from 1 species
AUACGGAGGAUGCGAGCGUUAUCCGGAUUUAUUGGGUUUAAAGGGUGCGUAGGCGGACUGUUAAGUCAGUGGUAAAAUCGAGAGGCUCAACCUCUUCCGGCCAUUGAAACUGGCAGACUUGAGUGAGCGAAAAGUAUGCGGAAUGCGUGGUGUAGCGGUGAAAUGCAUAGAUAUCACGCAGAACUCCGAUUGCGAAGGCAGCAUACCGGCGCUCAACUGACGCUGAGGCACGAAAGCGUGGGGAUC